CCUUACCCACCUUUGACAUGUACGGAAUCCUUCAGAGAUGAGGGAGUGCUCGAAAGAGAGCCGUAACACAGGUGCUGCAUGGCUGUCGUCAGCCCGUGUCGUGAGAUGUUGGGUUAAGUCCCGCAACGAGCGCAACCCUUGCCAUUAGUUGCUACGAAAGGGCACUCUAAUGGGACUGCCGGUGACAAACCGGAGGAAGGUGGGGAUGACGUCAAGUCCUCAUGGCCCUUAUAGGUGGGGCUACACACGUCAUACAAUGGCUGGUACAGAGGGUUGCCAACCCGCGAGGGGGAGCCAAUCCCAUAAAGCCAGUCGUAGUCCGGAUCGCAGUCUGCAACUCGACUGCGUGAAGUCGGAAUCGCUAGUAAUCGCGGAUCAGAAUGUCGCGGUGAAUACGUUCCCGGGUCUUGUACACACCGCCCGUCACACCAUGGGAGCGGGUCUCGCCAGAAGUAGGUAGCCUAACCGCAAGGAGGGCGCUUACCACGGCGGGGUUCGUGACUGGGGUGAAGUCGUAACAAGGUAAGCGUAGUGCU
rnacentral:rRNA from 1 species